AUUGAACGCUGGCGGCAUGCCUUACACAUGCAAGUCGAACGGCAGCACGGGAGCAAUCCUGGUGGCGAGUGGCGAACGGGUGAGUAAUAUAUCGGAACGUGCCCGGUCGUGGGGGAUAACGUAGCGAAAGCUACGCUAAUACCGCAUACGAUCUACGGAUGAAANCGGGGGGAUCGCAAGACCUCGCGCGAUUGGAGCGGCCGAUAUCAGAUUAGGUAGUUGGUGAGGUAAAGGCUCACCAAGCCGACGAUCUGUAGCUGGUCUGAGAGGACGACCAGCCACACUGGGACUGAGACACGGCCCAGACUCCUACGGGAGGCAGCAGUGGGGAAUUUUGGACAAUGGGCGCAAGCC
rnacentral:rRNA from 1 species